GCAGCAGGCACGCAAAUUACCCACUCCCGGCACGGGGAGGUAGUGACAAAAAAUAACGAUACGGGACUCUAUUGAGGCCCCGUAAUCGGAAUGAGUACACUUUAAAUCCUUUAACAAGGAUCCAUUGGAGGGCAAGUCUGGUGCCAGCAGCCGCGGUAAUUCCAGCUCCAAUAGCGUAUAUUAAAGUUGUUGCGGUUAAAAAGCUCGUAGUUGGUUCUGCGUGCCGCGCUGUCGGUUCGCCGCCUGUCGGUGUAACUGGCAUGUCGCGGCAUGUCCUGUCGGUGGUGAACGGAAUUCCCGGUGCUGCUUAGGCUUAAUCGCCAAAGCAUGUACCGUGUGUUUUUCCGUUCGCCGAUCUCUCCUACUCCGGUGCUCUUAAACGAGUGUCGAGGUAGGCCGACACGUUCACUUUGAACAAAUUAGAGUGCUUAAAGCAGGCUGAAAUAUCUGCCUGAAUAGUGGUGCAUGGAAUGAUAAAACAGGACCUCGGUUCUAUUUUGUUGGUUUUAGGAAUAUGAGGUAAUGAUCAAUGUGGACUGGCGGGGGCAUUCGUAUUGCGACGUUAGAGGUGAAAUUCUUGGAUCGUCGCAAGACGCACUAGAGCGAAAGCAUUUGCCAAGUAUGUCUUAAUUGAUCAAGAACGAAAGUUAGAGGUUCGAAGGCGAUCAGAUACCGCCCUAGUUCUAACCAUAAACGAUGCCAGCCAGCGAUCCGCCGAUGUUCCUUUAAUGACUCGGCGGGGAGCUUCUACUCGGGAAACCAAAGCUUUUGGGUUCCGGGGGAAGUAUGGUUGCAAAGCUGAAACUUAAAGGAAUUGACGGAAGGGCACCACCAGGAGUGGAGCCUGCGGCUUAAUUUGACUCAACACGGGAAAGCUCACCAGGCCAGGACAUUGGAAGGAUUGACAGAUUGAUAGCUCUUUCUUGAUUCAGUG
rnacentral:rRNA from 1 species